rnacentral:misc_RNA from 1 species
UUUCCGUAGGUGAACCUGCGGAAGGAUCAUUCAUAAUAAGUGAUUUAUGACACUUUUUUAAAUCCAUAUCCACCUUGUGUGCAAGGUCAGGGUUGAUUUUUCUCACGAGAGGAUCAGCCCCAAACAUCAACUAUAUCUAAACUCUUUGUCUGAAAAUUAUUAUGAAUAAAACAAUUCAAAAUACAACUUUCAACAACGGAUCUCUGGGUUCUCACAUCGAUGAAGAACGCAGC